rnacentral:rRNA from 1 species
GACAGAGGGUGCAAACGUUUGUUCGGAAUUACUGGGCGUAAAGCGCGUGUAGGCUGCUUGGAAAGUCGGAUGUGAAAGCCCUGGGCUCAACCUAGGAAGUGCAUUCGAAACUUCUGAGCUUGAGUGUCGGAGAGGAAGGCGGAAUUCUCGGUGUAGAGGUGAAAUUCGUAGAGAUCGGGAGGAACACCUGUGGCGAAGGCGGCCCCCUGGGCCGGCCCUGACACUGAGACGCGGAAAGGCGUGGGGGAGCCGAACGGG